AUACGGAGGAUCCGAGCGUUAUCCGGAUUUAUUGGGUUUAAAGGGAGCGUAGGUGGACAGUUAAGUCAGUUGUGAAAGUUUGCGGCUCAACCGUAAAAUUGCAGUUGAUACUGGCUGUCUUGAGUACAGUAGAGGUGGGCGGAAUUCGUGGUGUAGCGGUGAAAUGCUUAGAUAUCACGAAGAACUCCGAUUGCGAAGGCAGCUCACUGGACUGCAACUGACACUGAUGCUCGAAAGUGCGGGUAUCAAACAGGAUUAGAUACCCUGGUAGUCCGCACAGUAAACGAUGAAUACUCGCUGUUUGCGAUACACGGUAAGCGGCCAAGCGAAAGCGUUAAGUAUUCCACCUGGGGAGUACGCCGGCAACGGUGAAACUCAAAUGAAUUGACGGGG
rnacentral:rRNA from 1 species